CACUGUUACCAAGAAGACCACAUGGUGCCGAACCUGCAUUUAGUUUUACUAAUUAGCUCACCUGCCGCAGCUCACCUGCCAGGUGGUUUUCUUCAUUAGUUAAUUGGUUGCAUCUGGUGCGUUUCACUUAAAAGGGAACCGGACAGUAGAUUUGUUUGUGUACUGUUUUGAUGAAGUCUGUUGUGACUUAUUUAACAUCUCUUCGAGUUUCCCAGGUUAAAGACUUUUUGAAGUAAAGAAGAGCAUCUCAUCUGAACCUGAUGUCUAUCAUGGAUAUUUAACUGCAGUUCUGUGAGUAUCCGAACUCUACAAUGAAGCAUAACUGCAAACUGUAAGUCAUUAAUUUCUCAUUACUCUUGGGCACAUUGAUGUAUUUUGGCUUCCUAGUGAAUUAACCUGUUACCUGAAGGUUGAUCUGAGUAUUAAGGAUGUUUUAUAUUGGUUCAUGGGUUACUUAGGUGUUUGGUUUAUAUUGGUAUUCAUUUUUGAUUGAUUUGUUAAAAUGGUUACAGGCUCCAAAUUAUUGUUGUAAGCUGGAGUAAUUGGUUGGGUUCUGAUAUCUUCAGUCUUUUUUCAUUCUACUCUCCUGAGCUCUGCAUCUUCAUCACUUCAUGAGUGUUGCUUUACUGACACUGAGGGUGUGGUCUGAGUGAGCAGAGGUGCAUACUGGGAUACAGAGCUGUCUCGAGUCUACAGGUCUGUAGACACGGCCCCUCAGGGGAAACCGAGUGUUUGAGAAACUGUCGUGACGUCAGUUACAUGGACUGGAAUGUUCUUAAAGAUGGAGACAGGGAUUCAGAAGGAGAAACACCAGGGGGAGAUGAGGGGGCUCCUCAUCUCAACGACUGAAACACAACUUCAGUCUGACACAGAACCAUGGAACACAUUCAACAGUCCCCUCCAGGCAUCGUGACUCCACAGGAACAGUUUCAUUUCCAAGAAGGUCUUAUUUGGGGCCAUCCCCAUAUGGAUCCUGCUCCUCAAGAGCCACCCCCCUCCACUGGGUGGUUUUCUGAACAGAUGACCUCCUUCCUGUCCUCAGGCUGACUAAAGCUGCACCGUUUGCAUCUGUGAAGGCCCCUCAUUCAGGAAACCACUGGACUUCAAAGACAUGACUUCAGAGAUGUUGAAUCAACACAUUGGGACACAUUUUGGAGACGCCAAGCAUAAUCCAUCACCAAUGUGGGACGCCACUGAAGAAUGUUGUACAUAAUUUACGUCUCUGGAGACAUUGGUUGUUCUGUUAUGGGUGCCCUGGCAGGAGAGCUGGGGGGGAUGCUGGAAUGUUAUUUGCUAUGAGGUUUUUACCCUGCCUGAUUGUUUGGCCUUUUAUGGCUCAGUGGUGUGUGUGUGUGUGUGUGUCAUGAGAUGGAAGAUUUUUGAUCAUCGCUAGGGUUUUACUGUGUGUGUCUCCCACUCACACCUGGCAUGCGGUUCUACGUGCCUGUCCUGGGUUCCAUGCGUGUGUGUGUCCGGCUUGCUUUGACAGUGAUAAUGUUCAUACGGGGGUCUGUGUGAUUGGCUUGGGAUAUUGGAAUGGUCAACUAAAUCAUACCUGAUGGACGGCCACACGUUUACUUAAGGGCCUCCAGUAGACAUGAAGAGCCCUGAGCGACGCUCCGGAGCGAGAUCCAACACACUGGGAAGGAAGGAGAGUAUCCAAAUCAAGUGUAAAAGGAUGCAAGCGGUGUGUUCAGAUCAGUGACUUCAAACUAGGACUACAACAAUCAGGAUCAAUGGAGGAUGGACACCAAAAGGAAUUCCACAAGGAGAGUCUGACGUUGGAAAGGGACCUAAAUGGAUAUUCAAGAUGACCUUCAGACCUUUAAUGAGACGGCUCUUCCUACCUGGCUGGAUUGAUGGAGAGCCCUGUGGAUCUUGUCUUGCUCUCAGUUGCACAUCUUCUCAGGCUGAACUGUAUUUGUUUCGGACAGGACUAGCUGAACGAUUGGUUCCCUUAAAUCAGAACCAAUCCGGGAACUCGAGCUUGUGCGCUCUUCGAGCUGAAGUUGUGCUCUUCAGCUGAGGAGGUGAGGAAACCUUCACUGGGGCUUCAAGGUGUAAAGAGGAGAAUGUUUCAAAGUGUUCCAUGGUAGUCUGAAGACCGUUGUGUUCCACUGGCUGCGAGGAAGAACCCACACAUCUUCCUCUUGGCCUUUCUCCUCUGAGAAUCCUGGCGCCAUCUUGAAGGAUAUUCCAGCUCAUGUAACUGUAGUCACGACAGAUUCUCAAACACUUGGUUUCUCCUGAGGGGCGUGUCUAUGGAACUGAAGACUUCAGACAGCACUGUAUCCCAGCAUGCAUCUCUGCUCACUCAGACCACACCCCCGUGAGUAGGAUGCAACACUCUAGUGAUAGCGAUGUAGAGUUUUAUAAGUAACGAGGGAGCAGACUAAGGUGAUUAGAACCCAAUGCAAUGUCAAGUCUGUAAAUCUUUAAACCAUGAAGAUGGUUGGAUAGUUCAGGAAUUGGGCUUCUUUUUAUUAUGGGCAGUCCUUUCACUCAGAUGCCCACUUCUCACUGGAGCUGUACAUGUGUUGGCUGGCAUGAUUUGCUGUUGGUGAUGAGGCGGUCAGGGUGACGUUGCAGGGCUAUGGUCAGCUCUCUGUGAGCUCAACGUUUAGAUUUGCUCUGUAUUGUUUGUACCCUGAAUAAUCUAGAUAAUUGUAAAAUGUAGACACGGUUUUGUAUUGAAUGAUUUUAGGUUUAAAGUUGUUGUGGGACGUACAUGGUAGUUUGGUUCUUCGUAUGGUUUUGAUUGAUAUAACUUGUACACACUGGGUGCAUAAUAAUGUAAAUGUACACUGAAUAGUAGAAAUGACCAACAGCAACAAACAGAUCUCCUCAAGGUAAGUCUGUUGGCUGUAUUUUAAUGAAGACCAUCGCUGGACUUCAGGAUCUUCCUCCGUUCAGCUCAAGGUGAGGCGCUGGUUCUGUUUUUCUUUGGUUGGUUCCGGCCGGAAUGUUCGUAUUCCAGUCGGACGGUUUGUGCUUCCCGCCGUGGAAGGUUCUGAGUGCGGUCACGCGAUUUAGUCCCAAUGGUUGGCAUAGAACGUUGUAGUCUUGACAACCAUAAGAAACCACCUGGCAGUUAGUUGGACGGGAGUCCCCUGAGGGAAUCUGGCGGACUGUUUUGGAUUGUAUUUGCGUAACCUCGAGCCGUUGCCCAUUUUUCAGUCGGUUUCCAUUGGGAAUUGUUGCCCCUAUCUUAAACAAAUUAAGUUUGAUAUUAAAUACUUACUCACACGUACGUCGUACAAUAUGUUGAUAAUUUCCGAUGGUUGCGCCGUACUUUAACCACGAUGACGUGACGGGACUCUCACUGCGUACAAAACAGCGUUCUACUUGCGGGCCCAUUUUUUUACAUCAGGGAAGGCUGAAAAUCAUUUCAAGGUGGAAGAUAAUUUGACAUUUCUUCAACGGAACCCAGCACCUGAAUAUGGUUGAGUAUAUUUGAUUUAAAUAUCGAUACUGCUUAGUGUUCUUUGUUACUUCAGCUUUUGUAGGUUCUAAAUAUCUGCUGUCAUUAAUUGCCACAGAAGUUAAACCCUAUCCAAUGGAAUAACGUUAAACAACGACUUUGGUGCAGAGUUAACAACUGGAUAAUAUAAAAGCUAAAAUAAUGGCUAAGUCAUUCCCACGUUACAGUAGAAUAUACUUUAGAACUGUACAAGGUUAAAAAGGUAACAUGUAGUUUGUCCCAAGGUGUCUGCCUCCUCACCCAGAGCCAGACCUCCACCUCCUCACCCAGAGCCAGACCUCCACCUCCUCACCCAGAGCCAGACCUCCACCUCCUCACCCAGAGCCAGACCUCCACCUCCUGUCAGAAGUUCUCCAGAACAGCGGAAAGGCCUGGCUGAGAGGCUGGGGUCCGGAGGCUUGUGGUGCCAGGGUGGACCGGAGACUGAGGCUGGAGACCAGGGGCCUGCAGCACCGGACCAGAGGACCAGGACUCUGUCUGAGGAGAGCUGCUGGAGGAGCUGAGACGCUGGAGGACGACUAGGAAUCGACCAACAAGGAUUCCUCAGCGGAGGCGAGCUGGUAGGGGAGCCGUGAAUCUGGAGGAUGACCAUCACUCUACCAACAAGGAUUACUUUAGGGCCAGACUCGCGCUGUUUGUUCCAGACCAGGACUCUGGCUGAGGAGAGCUGAUGGAGGAGCCAAGACUCGAGCCAAGAGGACGACAUCACUCCACCAACCAGGAUCCUCACCAGGAAUCUGGAGGACUGAUGGAGAAGCCGUACAUCUGGAAGGCAAAUCCUGAGGACCACCAGGACUCUACCAUCAAGGAUUCCUCAUAAGUUUGCAUUAUCUGGACAUAGUGGACUAGACCCACCUGAGCUGAACCUCACCUGAUCCUGUUUGGUCGGGGGUAGACACACCUGAGCUAAACCCGCCCUGAUCCUGACAUCCUGCUGGUCCCGUCUCCUCAGUUCAUCUAAGCCUCGUCCUCCAGAAGACCUGCUGAGCUCAGCAGUCUGAGGCUGAUGGAUCAAUGACCUCCAGUGGGAGUGAUCUUCUUGACCCCACAUAACGUGUUUCUGGAGCGGAGGCGAGCUGGUAGGGGAGCCGUGACUCUGGAGGAUGACCAUCACUCUAACAACAAGACUUUAGGGCCAGACUCGCGCUGUUUGUUCCAGACCAGGACUCUGGCUGAGGAGAGCUGAUGGAGGAGCCAAGACUCGAGCCAAGAGGACGACAUCACUCCACCAACCAGGAUCCUCACCAGGAAUCUGGAGGACUGAUGGAGAAGCCGUACAUCUGGAAGGCAAAUCCUGAGGACCACCAGGACUCUACCAUCAAGGAUUCCUCAUAAGUUUGCAUUUUCUGGACAUAGUGGACUAGACGCACCUGAGCUGAACCUCACCUGAUCCUGUUUGGUCGAGGGUAGACACACCUGAGCUAAACCCGCCCUGAUCCUGACAUCCUGCUGGUCCCGUCUCCUCAGUUCAUCUAAGCCUCGUCCUCCAGAAGACCUGCUGAGCUCAGCAGUCUGAGGCUGAUGGAUCAAUGACCUCCAGUGGGAGUGAUCUUCUUGACCCCACAUGUAACCGUGUGCUUCCACACGCCUUUCCCUCACGUCUGUCACUAACCUCACUACUUCACUACUAUCUACUGCUUCCUCUUUUCUUCCUUCUCUGUGGUUCAAACCGUUACACCGUCUAGUCUUCCUGCCCUCAGAGGGUUUAGCGUUAGGGUUGAGAGUCAGGGUUUAGAGUCAGGGACAGAGCUGGUUAGGGAGGACUGCUUUUACACAAACCUCUUCACUUGCUUUUCGGAAUGGUGGUGACAUUUUGAAAAGAUUCAUUUGAGAAAAUGUUUUCCUCUGCUUUCCUUUACAAAAUUGUAUCAAACUUCUGUCAAGUGUUUUUGUUUAUAUAUUAAAAUCCCACAUUGACUUCUACAUGUUUGAUGCGGUUCAUUUAAUUGUCCUUUAACUUGGUUAAUGUCAAGCUAAACUCCUGCAUUGCAUUACAUUAAUAUACAUGAUUGUUAUUCAGCAAUGUUCACAUAAUCCAUUUUGUAAAAAUAUG
ensembl:lncRNA